UAAAAGCAUCUGCAAAAGCAAACAUCAGUUUAACACUGGACACAUUAUCAAAGACUACAAUAAUAAUUAUCUAUAUAUUGCAGUGAGGUAUUUUACAAACUCAUGAAAUGAGAAAGCGGGGGCGGUGAAUCUUUACGUGUCAGGUCAUGUUCUGUGCCGCGGGGUGGUCUGAUUUAGAAGCAAGCUCUUCGCAGCGCUAUGAGGACCUAUUAGAUUAGAAGGUUUGAGAGAAUUUUUAAGGGAUAUGCAGAGAGACGCUGCAUUUCUCUAUCUGUGCUUUCUGAUUACAAACGGUAUGUUUGGGGAUGCAGAUGAAAUUAAGUCAGUGUUUGUGACUGAGGGAGACUCUGUCCCACUAUACACUGAUAUUACUAAAGUGCAGGAAGGUGAUCAGAUCUACUGGAAAUUUGGACAUCAAAACACUCGAAUAGCUGAAAUCAUCAAAAGGGACCAAAUAGGUGUUAACAUACAUUUUUUGCUUAAGGAUGGGAAAUUCAAAAACAAACUACAACUGGACAAUCACACUGGAUCUCUGACCAUCAGAAAUAUCAGCACUGAACAUGCUGGACUUUAUGAACUGACUGUGAUGAGUGGAAAAAACUCAUUGACCAGAUUUAAUGUUACUGUCUAUUCUCUACCUGUUCCUUUCAUCAGCAAUAACGCUUCAAACUGUUCUUCAAAAUCAUCAAGAUCGCAUUUUUCCAGAUGUUCAGUGUUGUGUUCAGUGUUGAAUUUGAGGGCUGCGAGUCUCUCCUGGUACAAAGGAAACAGUGUAUUGUCCAGCAUCAGUGUGUCUGAUCUCAGCAUCAGUCUCUCUCUACCUCUGGAGGUGGAAUAUCAGGAUAAAAACACCUACAGCUGCGUGGUCAAUAACAACUUCACAAACCACACCACACAUCUGGACAUCAGUGAUCUCUGUCACACAUGUGCAGAGCUUACAAUGAACCCCUGGUGUUAAAUACUCACUGAGCAAAGGCAGAACUGGAAAGAAAUCACUAUCUGAUAGUUGUCACCGUGGUGCUGUUCGUAACAGUUUGGGGAUUGAUCUGGUGCUAUAGGAAGCGUAAACAAGGACAAUGUGGAGGCUGAAGCAGAAGGUGGUACAGUGUACUCAAGCAUCGCAACAAACUAAGGAGCACAGUGUACAAUGUUUUUAAUGAUAAAACACUCAUGACAUAACAGUCACCUGCAUAUUCACAUUUAAUUUUUAUGAAUUAACAUGCAGUUCAUGGAAGCUCAUUUCGGCAAUUGUUUGUUUUGUAGUAUUGUUGGUAUUAAUUCAUGCUGGACAAGGAACGGGUUUUAAAUGAAAUAUAUGUAGCGAAAUCCGUUAACUGAUCACUGAUGUUUUUUUUUUUCAAUACCAAUGUUUUAUUCAUCAAACAUCAGAGGAAACUCUUGUAUUCAGUACUAACAGGACAUAAAGCCAUGUUAAAUACCUUUAGACUAUCCAUUCAUCUCUAGAGUCUUCAGCAAAGUCCACAUCCGCUUAAAUACCACAAGAAAAACUAAAUAUUUUCUAGACUAGACAUGUCUACACAUUUGAGGUCAUGUAACGUCUACUUUUAUCUAGAAAUCUGCAUUUUCCUGUUUUGUAACAUACUUAAGCACUGAUUACUUACCAUGUAUUGUACGGAGUAUUGUGUGGGAAUUACUUCCUAAGUAUUGUGCUCAUAUAAAACCAUGCCGGUGAAUAAACUUGCUUUUUUUUUUUUUUUUUUU